CUGCAAAGAAAAGAAAAUAUUCAUUUUAGGUCAUGAAAUACAAGUUUGGAGUUAUAAUGCACAUCUCUGCAGUAGGUGGCAGUAUACACCUAACAUGGGGGUCAGUGAAGAAGAGUUGCAAGGAACUUCACUACCAUGUUAGUUUUUCCCCCAAAUCCCAGAUAUCUCGCAAAAGGCAUCUGUCAGAAUACAGUGUUCCAUCAGGAAGUAUCACUUGGACAGAAAGACAAUGGGUUCCUACAAGAUAUUUGUCAGAGGAAGAGAAAGCACAAGAAUAGAUGACAGCUAAGACUGAGGUAACGUAUCAUCAAGACUAGAGUUCUUCAUCCCACAGAUGUCUCCAGUGUUGAAGAUGGUCAUCACACCUGAUAAUCAGUUCCUGCUGACUGCCUCGGAGGACAGCUCCCUGCUCAUCUGGAGGAUCACUGACCAGGAGGGAUGCAUGUUGAGCAUGGUGAAAGAAACAGACUAUAUUGAGUAGUUCCCUGUACCAAGGCUUAUCUGGAGAAAAAGGACAUACUAUAUAUUCUGUGAAACUGAUAGAAUGAUGUUCCCAUUAUAGUAGAAGCUUUCACCGUAGUGCAGUGGCGUAUUGCCACCUCAGAGCUCCAGGGUCCCUGGCUCAAUCCUGAGGUCAGGUGACGGAGUGGAGCCUGUGUGGAGUUUUGCAUGUUCUCUCCAUGGGUUUCCUCUGGGUUUUCUCUACUUAGUAAUGGCUAUUUAUUUUAUAUUUUGUAGUAACAUAGUUGCAGGAUAAAAUGCUCAAAGUUUCAUCCUGAACCUUUGCUCCAGCCUUUGAUAUUUUUCUGUGUUAAACCCUCCAGGACCAGAGUACACUAGAGGCAGAGGACCAGGAGGACAAGCUAAAUUACAAUCACAUGGACUGCAAGACAAAGAUUAAUAAAAUCAGGUUCUGAAAACUGAGAAUGAGGAACAGAAGGUCUUUCACCACCAGAUGCUGACCUUGAUAACGGAGAAAUAUGACAAAGAGAUGAAGGAUGAACAGUCUCUCUUUAUUUUUCACCAUGCAGUAUGGCUUGAUUAUACUUUAACACAGAAUUUGGGUUCCAAGAUUCAGUGAAUCAUUAAUCUUGAGCUCAACUGAAAUUUAUUUAUUUAUUUAUUUAUUUAUUUAUUCCCUCAGCCUAAAAUAUGUUUGUCUCAGUCUAUCUAAUAAGCCGCACUCAUGUUUUUUGUUGAAAUUUCUAGGCUGCUCCUAGCACUAAAAUGUUUAAUGCACUAAAAUAGUAUGCAUUUUUAAAAGCAUGGCUAAUUUUGUUCCCAGAUCAAACCCAACGAAGACACUGUGUUAAUAGCAUUCAAGAAACACAAAGAGAUGGAGCAGAGAAUGGAGGCGAUGCAGAAGAACUAUGAGGAGAGACUGCACCAGCAAGAGGACGGCCAUCUCUGCACGAUGGAGGACAUGAAACAGUCCUAUGAGGCUAAGCUGCAGGAGCUAAGGAAGCCACACUGCUGUUCUGCUUUCUCUUAGGAUCCUGUUUUCCUCAUCUCCAGACCAUGCCCCUGAUCAUUAUUGUUAUCUGUAUCUAGUUAGCUUAAGUUGUGUCUUGUUUUGUCAUUUGUUGUUUGUUUCUUGUUUGCUUCUUUUGUUUCUGAAGUCCUACAACUGUCAGUGCUGAAUCGUUCACCUGGUUUUUGAGUUCCAGUCCGCCUAAUUCCUUUUCCUAGUAUUCUUCCUAGUUAAAUGCAUUAUAUGGGUCAAUAAGCAUUCAUUUUUAGUUAAGUCUUGGGAUUAGUAUGUUUGGAGUGUGCAUCUCCUUCUCCAUCUUCUCUCUACAGCAACUGGCCGAGUUGCUGAAGUUGGAGGAGAGCCAGAAGGAGAUGAAGCAGAAAGUUGACUCUGAGUUCAAGGAAAUCAGCCACAAAUAUGAACAGCAGCUCCAGGAGGAGAAAAAGCCCAGCAUGAAGAAUGAAUUGGAAAGGAAACUCUUGGAGAAGCAGGAGAGGAGAGGCUUCCGUCUGGCCACUUUGCCGUAAAGCCCAGAUUGUGGAGUUUUGCAGUGAUGGUUGACCUUCUGCAAGUUUCUCCAUCUCCACACAUUAUCUCUGGAGCUCAACCAGAGUGACCAUCUGGUUCUUGGUCACCUCUCUUACCGAGGCCCUUCUCCCCCGAUUGCUCAGUUUGGCCAGGCGACCAGCUCUAGGACAAGUACCUGGUUGUUCCAAACUUCUUCCAUUUAAGAAUUAUGCAGGCCACUCUGCUCUUGUGAACCUUCAGUGCAGCAGAAAUUUUUUGUAGCCUUCCCCAGAUCGGUGCCUCGACACAAUCCUGUCUCUGAGCUCUGCAGGCAGUUCCUUUGACCUUUGGAUUGGUUUUUGCUCUGUUUGUUCAGCUGUUAGACAGCAGUAUCCUCAGGGAAGUCACAGUGGAAAUCUCCAGUAGAGUUCAAAAGCGUGAGCCAUCUGCAAUGUGCAGGAAUCCAGAGGCUAAAGAGGGAUAUCCUGGAGAAGGGACAAGGCCAAGCCACCCAUUAACAUAGCCAAGAACACCAGAUUCUUGAAUAAAGAAACACCUUGAAUAAAAGCUGUAAUAAUAAAUGGUAUGGUGUUAUAUCUUUUUUAUUUACUUUUAUUUUUAACAAUAAUUUUAAAAUUCAUUUUAGCAUAAUUUGUAAUCAAUUUUUCUAUUCUAUUUUAAUUUUGACUCUGGUUUGUGGAGAUGGCAUCUGAUUAGUGGUCCCCUCAAAGAUUGUGAGUAUUGUAGUGAUUAAAUCCAUUUAAAAGAACAGAAAAGAAAACCAAUCUGACUUAUGGCGUGUACCAGAGCAUAUAUGGCUUUAAAACAGUGAGUCAGUCUGGAAAAGUAUAAAUGUCGUUGAUCAUAAUAAUGUCCGUUAAAGGGGAUCAUGGAUGAAACCUUUACUUCUGGACACCCGCUGAUCAUGUGACAGUCUGGACUUGAGUCCAUGGGAGCUGAGUGCACAUUCUCUGAAUAGAAAACUCCAGAUUAGUGUGUGUAUUUUAAGGUUAAGCAACCAAGGGCAAUAAAGAAUGAGCUUUUGCCUCGUAAAUUAUAGUGUGCUGUCACAGAGAAACUCGUGCAGCCAUGAACCUGGCAGUGGAGGGCCGAGCUGCGGCAGCAGUGGGCCUGAAGGCGGUGCUGAAGAGCAGGGAGGCGCGGCCUGUGCCAGCCAAGAGGUCGAAAAUCAUGACAUGUUCACUUGAAAAAUGGGUGGCUUCAAACAAAAUGUGCCAUGUUCUAAGUUGUUUAACAAUCUAGAUGUAAAUAGCGGGAAAUGAAAGUUGGAAUUCUGCUCUGUCGUUUCAUAUUCGUCUUUUGAUCUCAAACCCAAAUGUCUUCAGUGUAUAGCAAAAACAAUAGAACUGGUCUUGCUGUUCCAAUACGUUCUGAGGGGACUGUAUGGAAAAUAUGAUUAGGCUGGAAAGUGCAUUCAGAAGGCUUAUUAACCUUAUGGAC